rnacentral:rRNA from 1 species
AGGACGAACGCUGGCGGCGUGGAUUAGGCAUGCAAGUUGAGCGACAGAUAGCCUUCGGGCUAUUAUGGAGCAGCGAACGGGUGAGUAACACGUGAACAAUCUGUCCCUUCAUUCCGGAUAAUUGGAAGAAAUUCCUUGUAAUACGGGCGAGGGUCCCUGGGGGUGCAUACUUUAGGGAAGGAAGGCGCAAGCCGUGCAGGGAGGAGUUCGCGGCCUAUCAGUUAGUUGGUGGGGUAACGGCCUACCAAGACUACGACGGGUAGCUGGU